UGUGCCAGCAGCCGCGGUAAUACGUAGGGUGCGAGCGUUAAUCGGAAUUAUUGGGCGUAAAGCGAGUGUAGACGGUUAUGUAAGCCAGAUGUGAAAUACCCGAGCCUAACUUGGGAGGUGCAUAUGGAACUGGGUAGCUAGAGUGUGUCAGGGGGAGGUAGAACUCCACGUGUAGCAGUGAAAUGCGUAGAGAUGUGGAAGAAUACCUGAUGGCGAAGGCAGCCUCCUGGGAUAACACUGACGUUGAGGCUCGAAAGCGUGGGGAGC
rnacentral:rRNA from 1 species